UACGUAGGGUGCAAGCAUUAUCCGGAGUGACUGGGCGUAAAGAGUUGCGUAGGCGGUUAGUAAAGUGAAUAGUGAAACCUGGUGGCUCAACCACUCAGACUAUUAUUCAAACUCACUAACUCGAGAAUGGUAGAGGUAACUGGAAUUUCUUGUGUAGGAGUGAAAUCCGUAGAUAUAAGAAGGAACACCAAUGGCGUAGGCAGGUUACUGGACCAUUUCUGACGCUAAGGCACGAAAGCGUGGGGAGCGAACCGG
rnacentral:misc_RNA from 1 species